AUUGAACGCUGGCGGAAUGCUUUACACAUGCAAGUCGAACGGUAGAGGGGGCAACCCCUUGAGAGUGGCGAACGGGUGAGUAAUAUAUCGGAACGUGCCCAGUCGUGGGGGGAUAACGUAGCGAAAGUUACGCUAAUACCGCAUACGAUCUAAGGAUGAAAGCGGGGGACCGUAAGGCCUCGCGCGAUUGGAGCGGCCGAUAUCAGAUUAGGUAGUUGGUGGGGUAAAGGCUCACCAAGCCAACGAUCUGUAGCUGGUCUGAGAGGACGACCAGCCACACUGGAACUGAGACACGGUCCAGACUCCUACGGGAGGCAGCAGUGGGGAAUUUUGGACCAAUGGGCGCAAGCCUGAUCCAGCAAUGCCGCGUGCAGGAUGAAGGCCUUCGGGUUGUAAACUGCUUUGUACGGACGAAAGACUCUGGUUAAUACCUGGGUCCAUGACGGUACCGUAAGAAUAAGCACCGGCUAACUACGUG
rnacentral:rRNA from 1 species